CCACUGUCCAAUCAGAGCACAGCGUUACCUGUUGAUGUCAGUUACAUCCUAACCAGCUACCAGGAGACCCUGGCUGAACAGGAAGAUCCUCGAACCCUGUCUAAGACUAGGCUCCUCUCCUGUGGAACCAGCUCCCAGCUUUAGUCCGUGAGGCAGACACCUUGUCUACUUUUAAGAAUAGGCUUAAAACAUUUUUAUUUGAUAGGGCCUAUGGUUAAAAUCUGAUGUUAGCCUAGAUCUGGACAAGUGGGGGAGUAGAGGGAGGUGGAGUGUACAGUCGGUAAAGACGGCUCUCCCUUGCCCUGCCUCCAACAUGCCUCCAUCUAAAUAGGAUAGAUUAUCCAGAGUUAUCUCUGUAGUUAUGCUGCUAUAGGCUUAGGCCUGAUUUAUGCUUCUGCGUCUGCGUCAGUGCGGAGCACACGCAACGCCAUUAUCUGUCCUUGCGUAGGGAUCCGGCAGGCACGCAAGUACGUACGGAGUCGAGCCCACUUUUUUAAACAUCCGUCGAACCAGGGCCCGAAAUUAAAUUCUUUACUCACCGGCCAAGUUGGCUGGUAGAUGAUGAAAAUCUACCGGCCAAAAUCCUAAAUGAUUUAGAUCCACCUAAAGCAUGUAAUUCUAUAUUAUGUUGGUUCCAAACAGAGUGACAAAAUAAUUAAAACAUCAAUUAAUAAGGAAAACAACUCUUUUGUCAUUUGUACUAUUUAUUUAUUUAUUUUUAGAGAUGUUUUUAUGAACUCUUUCAUUGAAAUCUAGUCAGACUCCUUGUUUUCUGUCCAUGAAGUCUGGCCUCCUGCUUCUGACACCGUCUUUGUGCCAAAGCAUUACAGCCUCAUUUGGGUCCUAGUCCUUGAUCUCUGGAGAACACAGCUGCACCAUGAGAACAUCUCUAGGGUUGUCACGGUAACCGGUGUAGCAGUAAACCCCGGUAAAAAAGCUGACAAUAAUAAUAAACGUCUUGUUUUUAAAAAUAUGUAUAUUAUCUCGGUGGAUUACCGUGGCUGCGGUGUAGGCGUGGUGACCCUUACCAGCCACCGUAUCAUCUGCUGAAGUUGCCGGCGGCACAUGCGCACUUUGUUGUUUACAACCAAAACUUUCUUGAAGCUAAAGCUGAAAUAAUGGCCAGAGGAGGAGACGGCAGCACUCGGGACAUUUAUUAUCCCUCAAAGAAGACAAAGUCGGAAGUACGGGCAUCUUUUGGAUAUUUGAAGAAUGCCGAGGGACAGCUGUCUGUGAAAGGCAGCAACACUACGUGGCCAUCAUAAUGUAGCCAUUGUCUCACGACUCCGCCAUCUCCGUUAGAUGCGGCGCUCACGUUUCGCGUACGUUUGUGUACGUUGCAUGCAGGCGGGAGGAGUAUCAGACAUCCGUGGAAGAUGACUGAUAAACAUAACUCAUUUGGUGCAAACAUUUACUCGCCAGGUGGCAGGUAGAGCUCAAACAUUUACUCGCCAAAUGGAGCAAUUUGCUCACAUUUGGCGAGUGGCGAGUGUUAAUUUCGGACCAUGCGUUGAACGAAACGGAUGACGCAAGCUUGUGAUUGGUCAGGACGCUGCUGUUGUUUACAGCGCCGCCAUUGCAAAGAGAGCCGAGGAUAACUAGCGGCAGACACGGAGCAGCUUGAAGAAUACCUAAUGAAAAAACUAAAAAUAUGAAUGUUUCAUCCUCGCGUGACUGGAGGAGUGAAAAGAUGCGCAGCAAGCGUUUUAUUUGUGGACGGAAAUGACAGGAAACGUGGGUUUAGAGGUGGGGAGCGCAUGAAGCGGUGGGAGAAUGAGAGACAAAUAUGUCCGUGUUAAAAUCUCUUAUAUACACAAAACACAAUAUAAACACACGAUCUUGGACCGAUACAUGACAGGAUACCACAGAACAGCGCUACGCCCUCUGUUGUCCUGGCGGGGAAUUGCUUUGCAACACUCUCCAGGAGACGGAGAAGUAUGAGAGCAAAACGCUUCCGUCAAUCCGUGCGUGUCUGUCCCUUGCAGAGCUGACGGAGAAGCAUGAACCAGGCUUA